rnacentral:lncRNA from 1 species
GCUUUGUAUGUCCAAGAGUCCUGCUAGCUGUUGUGGUGGGCAGAAAAAGAGAGGGAAGGGAGGUGACUGAAGCUGUUCACCUAGACCAGGUGAGCCUCUUGUCUCUGAGUGCAGCUUCUUGCCCAGGAACCAAGAUGGGAGGGGGUUACCUGAUGGGACUGAAUAUCUUCGGGAGAGGGCUCAGCUGCUGAGUUUGGCUGGAACCUGCUUGAGUCCUGGGUUGAUGAACUAACUGGACCCAUGGCAGGUAGGGAAUGGGCAGUAAAAUAUUUUCCUAAGUAGUUCAAGCAGCAGAAGGUGGGCUUUUCCCUGAAUGAAGGCUCUGGCUCAGCUUCUCUGGUUUGGCACAUCCCAGAGAAAGAAGCGGGCCACCCAGCUUUCAGGCCUGAGCCUUGUUUCUCACCUGCCU